GCGGUAUUCCAGCUCCAAUAGCGUAUAUUAAAGUUGUUGCAGUUAAAAAGCUCGUAGUUGAAUUUCGGGAUUAGUACGUUGGUCGUGCCUUCGGUACGUACUGGUGUUACUGGUUCCUACCUUCUGACGAACCAUCAUGUCAUUAAUUUGGUGUGGCGGGGAAUCAGGACUGUUACUUUGAAAAAAUUAGAGUGUUUAAAGCAGGCUCGCGCUUGAAUACAUUAGCAUGGAAUAAUGAAAUAGGACGUUGACCCUAUUUUGUUGGUUUCUAGGAUUGACGUAAUGAUUAAUAGGGAUAGUUGGGGGCAUUAGUAUUCAAUUGUCAGAGGUGAAAUUCUUGGAUUUAUUGAAGACUAACUACUGCGAAAGCAUUUGCCAAGGAUGUUUUCAUUAAUCAAGAACGAAAGUUAGGGGAUCGAAGACGAUCAGAUACCGUCGUAGUCUUAACCAUAAACUAUGCCGACUAGGGAUCGGAUGAUGUUAUUUUUAAUGACUCA
rnacentral:rRNA from 1 species